CUGUAUAGCCCAUAUGUAGUUGCACUUAAGCCAGUUCAACUUCAGGACUUCUAAAUAGAGAGGUGACUAUUGAGGUUGUCUGUUGAACUGGAGCUCUCAGCAGACCUGUAAGAAGGCACACAACACUAUCAGGAUUCCUGAAGUCUUCUCUGACCUGGGUAGUGCUAUAAAACAUCCUACAAUUGGCUUCUAAAACAUGACAUUCGAUUGUAAGGCAAAUCCUUGCAGUGAGUAAACACAGGACUUCUGUGGAGCCAAAAGCUGCAAAAAGUAUGUUUCUACACAACAUAAGGAAUCAGAUGUCAUCAUCUUUCCUCUCGUACUUCAGGCCUGACUUGAAAGUUGGGCACUUUCCAAGGCAUUAGCUCACUUCCCCAGCAAGACCUAGGGUGCACUGCACUAGCCAAGAGAGCUCAGCUUUCUAACACCCAUUAAUACUGGUCACAACUGUUUAUGCAUUCCAGCUAACUCUUUUAUGGCCAAGACACUACCAAGAUAUAGGAUACUGCUUUGUGGAGUUCAGCCAGUGUGAAAAUGAGAUGUUACUAUGCUUUUCUCACCAAAUGAGGUCUCCUAUCAAUUCUUCACUGAGCACUUUGCAUCAUUUCACAGGAAUACAUUGCAUUGUUUCAGUUACAAAUUACUGAUUCACAUGAUAUUGAUAUCCCAAUUGUGAUAUGAGAACUUCAAAAGAAUGUGAUGAACCUUUCUGAACAACAAGCCAAAGGAAAAAAAAAAAAUAACAUGCCCAAAUAAUCAUAAAAUGCAUACAUCCUAUGCAAAAGGGCUGAGGUAAGAAAAUUCAUGAGUUAUCCAUGAGCGGGUGAGGAUCAUCACUCCACUGAAGGUUAGGUCAGAGCUGAGCAGUAGUGCCUUAGGGCAACCAGUGUCAGAUGUUGGAUGCUCAGCUGGUUCACUUCGUCCUACAGCUGGGGGUUCACAGGGUUCAGCAGCUUCCCAUUUACCACAGUGCCACUGGCAGUUACUAGAGCUGCGUUUGAUCUAUUUGUAGACAUACACAAGACACAUACACAAGACACACAGAAGGGUCAUCUGUGAUUUUUGUGUUGCUCAUUUAAUUCAAUGAGUAUCUUGCCUGCAGAAGAAACACAGGACCACCCCAAACCAAUGAUGUUCCAUAGGGUCUGUUUUCAAAUCAGUGAGCUGUAUCAGAUUGGGUUUGGCACAAGAAUAAGGGUAGUCAGGAUAUAGGAAUGGAACUUCUACUUUUAAAAGUAGAAGUUGU